GAUGAACGCUGGCGGCGUGCCUAAUACAUGCAAGUCGAGCGAACAGACGAGGAGCUUGCUCCUCUGACGUUAGCAGCGGACGGGUGAGUAACACGUGGAUAACCUACCUAUAAGACUGGGAUAACUUCGGGAAACCGGAGCUAAUACCGGAUAAUAUAUUGAACCGCAUGGUUCAAUAGUGAAAGACGGUUUUGCUGUCACUUAUAGAUGGAUCCGCGCCGCAUUAGCUAGUUGGUAAGGUAACGGCUUACCAAGGCAACGAUGCGUAGCCGACCUGAGAGGGUGAUCGGCCACACUGGAACUGAGGCACGGUCCAGACUCCUACGGGAGGCAGCAGUAGGGAAUCUUCCGCAAUGGGCGAAAGCCUGACGGAGCAACGCCGCGUGAGUGAUGAAGGUCUUCGGAUCGUAAAACUCUGUUAUUAGGGAAGAACAAAUGUGUAAGUAACUAUGCACGUCUUGACGGUACCUAAUCAGAAAGCCACGGCUAACUACGUG
rnacentral:rRNA from 1 species